AGGUGAUCCACCAACCUCAGCCUCCCAAAGUGCUCACAGGUGUGAGCCACUGCGCCUGGCCCCAAAUCUUUUUUCAUGUAGUGAUGCGCGUGUGCGCAUGCAAACACACACAGACACACACACACACACACACACACACACACACCCCAAACCAAAAUGUCAAGUCUAUGAGGAAUAGCAAUGAAAAGAGCCUGUAGAAGGGAAAAGAUUGGGAACCAUGGCAUUUUGAGUAUCUACAGCUGCCUAAAGCUUUUUGGGUGUUGGGAAAACAGGCUAUUGCUUAACAGUGGUAGGGAAGAGAGAUAUGAGUGUCAUGAAAUAAGAAUGGGGACAUCAAAGACAAAGUCAUGAUUAGUUUGCUGGUGCCUUACAGAACUUUCUCCCCUUUGAAACCUUAGUAACAUUUUUUUCCUCUUUAAGCAGAAGCAGUUUCCAAAUGUUACUUGGGUAAUGGUGCCCUCUUCUGGGAUAACUGAUGUGACUCUGAAACCCUCUCCUACCACUUGGUUCAAAACAUCUAGAAAGUAACUGACUAAAGAAACAAUGAGACCAAAGGUUAAGCACCGAAAACAUCAUUUAAAGGUUUGAAUUAGGAACUAGAUACAUGCAUAAAUAUACAUAAGAUAAAUGUGCUCAAAGAUGUCUCCUUUCCAAUGCUGUCAAAACCUCAAGCUGAUGUAGGCACUUCUGUACCUCAUUUCCAUGGUGCUGUUGUGUCAGUGGAUCCAAUUUCCUGCGCUGUCAGCAUUACUCUCCUCACUUUACUAGCACAUUUUAAAAUUGACUUGGUUUAGGUCCCAUGGCAAUGGGAAGAAUACCUUCUUCUUUUCUCCUAUUAUCUUUGCCUUUAGUUUCUUUCUGCUUUUCCUUUUCAACACUCAUUAUGUGCCCUCAGUGUGUCCUAAAUCAGUUUUUAACUGCCCCUUAAACUAUUUCCAUGUCACAGCAUUUAAAAAUGAUGGUUCAUGACAAAGCUGCUGCAGAUAAAGAAAAACGGUUCAAUUCCUCUUGUAACAUAAGAUUGAUGUGCAGAUGCAAAAAGGUUAUUUGAUGGCUUUUACCUUCAACUGUCUAACUUCGGAGUAAAAAUAAUGUAGCCCUAUAGUUCUAAAAAGAUUAGAGAGAAGCAAGUCUGGAAAUAGUCAUCUUGUUUUUAUAUAUUAAUGGUCAGUUUAAAUAAGCUAACGCUAAGGGCAAGGGAAAUCUUUAUAGGACCUUGUAACAAGGAGUAGCAGAUGAAGCAUCCAACUCUUAAAGUUUUGUAAAAGAAAGUAUAUCGGUGACUCUGGUAAAAUGUUUGGAAAAUACAGAUAUUCUAGUAAGAUUAUA